AUCAAACACCACACCAGUUCAAAUUGAAGAACUGAGAUCGAUUGGUGCAUAGAUAACGCCCAAAAAGUCAUUUUAUUUCAAUUCUAGCACCAUUCGAAAUCAGUGCUUUUUAUUGGAACCGAUCAACGGUGUAUGGG
rnacentral:precursor_RNA from 15 species